GGUAAAACAUAAUUAUCAAAUGUCCCCAUCCCUUUCCCCUGUGCUAAGCGGGUGUGGGUGCUUCAAACUUCAAAGGGUGAUGAGCAAGUGAUGACAGGUGGCAAGUGAUGAUCAAGGUCUAAAAACCUACCGUAUUCAUAGACCUUGUGCUUAUAACUCUGCAACAAAGGAGGCUAGCCCAGCCUGAAGGCCAACGCUGGCAGGAGGCUAGCCCAGCUCGAAGGCCAGUGGAGGCCAAUGCUGGCAGGAGGCUAGCCCAGCACGAAGCCCAGUGAAGGCCAAUGCUGGCAGGAGGCUAGCCCAGCUCGAAGGCCAGUGAUGGCCAAUGCUGGCAGGAGGCUAGCCCAGCUCGAAGGCCAGUGAUGGCCAAUGCUGGCAGGAGGCUAGCCCAGCUCGAAGCCCAGUGAAGGCCAAUGCUGGCAGGAGGCUAGCCCAGCUUGAA